UACAGAGGUCUCAAGCGUUGUUCGGAUUCAUUGGGCGUAAAGGGAGCGUAGGUGGUUAGGUAAGCCCUCCGGGAAAUCUUCAGGCUUAACCUGAAAAGGUCGAGGGGGACUGCCUGGCUAGAGGACGGGAGAGGAGCGCGGAAUUCCCGGUGUAGCGGUGAAAUGCGUAGAUAUCGUAAGGAAGACCAGUGGCGAAGGCGGGUCUCUGGACAGUUCCUGACGCUGAGGCACGAAGGUCAGGGGAGCAAACGGG
rnacentral:rRNA from 1 species